UCUCUGGUAGCUCAACGGUUAGAGCGAUUGACUGUUAAUCAAUAGGCUGUUGGUUCGAAUCCAACUCAGAGAGU
rnacentral:tRNA from 1 species